GAUGAAGAACGCAGCGAAAUGCGAAACGUAAUGUGAUUUGCAGAAUUUAGUGAAUCAUCGAGUCUUUGAACGCACAUUGCGCCCCCUGGUAUUCCGGGGGGCAUGCCUGUCCGAGCGUCAUUGCUGCCCUCAAGCACGGCUUGUGUGUUGGGCCUCCGUCCUCCUCCCGGGGGACGGGCCCGAAAGGCAGCGGCGGCACCGCGUCCGGUCCUCGAGCGUAUGGGGCUUCGUCACCCGCUCUUGUAGGCCCGGCCGGCGCUUGCCGACCCAUCAAUCUUUUUUCCAGGGUGACCUCGGAUCAGGUAGGGAUACCCGCUGAACUUAAGCAUAUCAAUAAGCGGAGGA
rnacentral:misc_RNA from 1 species